rnacentral:tRNA from 1 species
GCCGGAGUGGUGAAACUGGUAGACGCACAGGAUUCAAAAUCCUGCGAGGGCAACCUCGUGUCGGUUCGAUUCCGACCUCCGGCACCA